UGAAAUCUCGGGGCUCAACCCCGAAACUGCGUCUGAAACUACAGGUCUAGAAUCUCGGAGGGGGAAGGGGAAUAUCGCAUGUAGGGGUAAAAUCCGUAGAUAUGCGAUGGAACACCAGGGGCGAAGGCGCCUUCCUGGACGAGUAUUGACGCUGAGGCGCGAAAGCGUGGGGAUCAAACAGGAUUAGAUACCCUGGUAGUCCACGCUGUAAACGAUGAAUACUAGGUAUUGGAGGAUUUGACCCCUACAGUGCCGUAGCUAACGCGUUAAG
rnacentral:rRNA from 1 species